rnacentral:rRNA from 1 species
GACGAACGCUGGCGGCGUGCCUAAUACAUGCAAGUCGAACGAACUCUGGUAUUGAUUGGUGCUUGCAUCAUGAUUUACAUUUGAGUGAGUGGCGAACUGGUGAGUAACACGUGGGAAACCUGCCCAGAAGCGGGGGAUAACACCUGGAAACAGAUGCUAAUACCGCAUAACAACUUGGACCGCAUGGUCCGAGCUUGAAAGAUGGCUUCGGCUAUCACUUUUGGAUGGUCCCGCGGCGUAUUAGCUAGAUGGUGGGGUAACGGCUCACCAUGGCAAUGAUACGUAGCCGACCUGAGAGGGUAAUCGGCCACAUUGGGACUGAGACACGGCCCAAACUCCUACGGGAGGCAGCAGUAGGGAAUCUUCCACAAUGGACGAAAGUCUGAUGGAGCAACGCCGCGUGAGUGAAGAAGGGUUUCGGCUCGUAAAACUCUGUUGUUAAAGAAGAACAUAUCUGAGAGUAACUGUUCAGGUAUUGACGGUAUUUAACCAGAAAGCCACGGCUAACUACGUGCCAGCAGCCGCGGUAAUACGUAGGUGGCAAGCGUUGUCCGGAUUUAUUGGGCGUAAAGCGAGCGCAGGCGGUUUUUUAAGUCUGAUGUGAAAGCCUUCGGCUCAACCGAAGAAGUGCAUCGAAACUGGGAAACUUGAGUGCAGAAGAGGACAGUGGAACUCCAUGUGUAGCGGUGAAAUGCGUAGAUAUAUGGAAGAACACCAGUGGCGAAGGCGGCUGUCUGGUCUGUAACUGACGCUGAGGCUCGAAAGUAUGGGUAGCAAACAGGAUUAGAUACCCUGGUAGUCCAUACCGUAAACGAUGAAUGCUAAGUGUUGGAGGGUUUCCGCCCUUCAGUGCUGCAGCUAACGCAUUAAGCAUUCCGCCUGGGGAGUACGGCCGCAAGGCUGAAACUCAAAGGAAUUGACGGGGGCCCGCACAAGCGGUGGAGCAUGUGGUUUAAUUCGAAGCUACGCGAAGAACCUUACCAGGUCUUGACAUACUAUGCAAAUCUAAGAGAUUAGACGUUCCCUUCGGGGACAUGGAUACAGGUGGUGCAUGGUUGUCGUCAGCUCGUGUCGUGAGAUGUUGGGUUAAGUCCCGCAACGAGCGCAACCCUUAUUAUCAGUUGCCAGCAUUAAGUUGGGCACUCUGGUGAGACUGCCGGUGACAAACCGGAGGAAGGUGGGGAUGACGUCAAAUCAUCAUGCCCCUUAUGACCUGGGCUACACACGUGCUACAAUGGAUGGUACAACGAGUUGCGAACUCGCGAGAGUAAGCUAAUCUCUUAAAGCCAUUCUCAGUUCGGAUUGUAGGCUGCAACUCGCCUACAUGAAGUCGGAAUCGCUAGUAAUCGCGGAUCAGCAUGCCGCGGUGAAUACGUUCCCGGGCCUUGUACACACCGCCCGUCACACCAUGAGAGUUUGUAACACCCAAAGUCGGUGGGGUAACCUUUUAGGAACCAGCCGCCUAAGGUGGGACAGAUGAUUAGGGUG